ensembl:lncRNA CMKLR2-AS CMKLR2 antisense RNA
GGCAUGGAAGCUCCGCGCCCCUUCCCACAGACCUUGUCCCGUGCAUCGCUUCCAUCCGGCUCUUCCUGAGUUCUGGCCCUUGUAGUAAACCUGCAGUCUUAAUCUCAAUAAGUAUCCAGGCUGGAGUGCAGUGGCGCGAUCUCGGCUCACUGAAACCUCUGCCUCCCAGGUUCAAGCGAUUCUCCUGCCUCAGCCUCUCGAAUAGCUGGGAUUACAGGCAACUACCAUUUUUCCCCCUCUGUCUUUUGAUGUUCACCUGACAAGCUCCUGGUGGUAGCCGGUAGCUCUGACAGAGAGCAAAAGAAAUAAGGGGCGGUUUUAGCUGAUAACCUCACCAGUCUUCACUUCGGCUCUUCCUUCGCUGCCCCUUCAGCUGCGGGGAACUUGCUCUAGGGCAUCUUGGCAGGAGGGAGGGCGUCUGAGGGUACUGGUGCCUGCAGACUUCAAGCACGGAGAGACUUCUUGAAGCGGUGCUGCCUGGCCACUUGGAAAAAGGUGGAUUAAUUUGGGGAUAUCCGAGGAGCCCCAGAGGGCCAUUGUAAUUCAAGAUCUUCAGUAAACUUCUGCCGCGGAGAAAGAACCCGGCCAGUAUUGGGACCAUCGUGGUGACGCAGGAUUGGAGGAACAGGGGUUUCGGUUGACUGAGAAGUUCCUGUGAGAGAAACAGGCUCAAAUAGAGAGAAUAGAAAGAUGUCGUGAGGAGCCAGGAAACAAAAUUUUCCAGGGGUCAGGGAAUGAAUUCUAAUCAGAACAAGGAGCCAGCAAGAACUUCCAGCCUAGGAGGUACUUUUCAAAAGAAGCCUGGGACUCUAACCCAGCUUCUGAGAGUAUACUCAGAAUUGUUAAGAAUCAGGCAGGGCGC